UACGUAGGGGGCGAGCGUUGUCCGGAGUUACCGGGCGUAAAGCGCACGCAGGCGGUCUGCUAAGUUUGGAGUGACAGUUGGUGGCUUAACUGCCAAAGUGCUUCGAAAACUGACAGACUUGAGGGCUUCAGAGGGACACGGAAUUCCGGGUGGAGUGGUGAAAUGCGUAGAGAUCCGGAGGAACACCAAAGGCGAAGGCAGUGUCCUGGGGAGUACCUGACGCUCAGGAGCGAAAGCGUGGGGAGCGAACAGG
rnacentral:rRNA from 1 species